UUAACCAGUGCUUUUUAUUUACAGUGCAGGAAAAAAAAAUCUUGUAAUUAAGCAAAUGAUGAGUUCAGUGAGGUAAACAAGGGUUCAGGUAGAAAGAACCCCAGAAAUCCUCUGACCCUGUAGGACCCCUGUGUAAGAGGCCCCAGCUCAGUUCAGCCCUGUGGUCAAAGUGGGCAGUGUCCACAUGAAGUUAAAGCACAAAAGGGAGAUACACGAGCCAAAGUCAGGAGGAAGCAGGAAGGUGCGUAACAUACAGUAGGUAAAUCACAGUUCAAGGCACCAAGGAAAGAUCCGAGAGACAAAGACAAAACACUGCAGGGGUGAGAACCCAAACAGAGUGCAAGAGAGGGAACUUGGAACACAGUGAGGUAGGAACUAGAGAGGCUCAGCGUUAUCGUUAUAACAGAGCACAGAACACUGCUCGGACAGACCCUCCUGCUUCAGUUGGAGACAAGGCAGAAGGUGAUUACCCACAGGUGAAGCAGGCUUCCUGUCUGACUGUGUUUCCACAGCAACCGGCCUGACUGACAGGUGGGAGGGGCGUGGCCAGCUGCUGCAGGAGAACUGCCCUACUCUGCAGUGCCCCCGUGAGGACAGGCAUGACGGUUGAUUUUGAAGAAUCAAAAGGCAGACUGGAAUCUUCCAGCACAGCCUGUCGAACUGGGUGCAGUGUCUUUUCCACUACUGCGAGCACCACGAGCUGGUCCUGGGGCGUGGAGAUACAGUACCAGGCCGAGGAUUUUAAGAAGAAAGCAGAUAUUGAAGGGGGCCGAGCUGACAAAGCUGGAGUCUGGAUUGAUGGCUACGCUCUGUCAGGGCAGCUUCUGAGCUGGACAGACGCCCCAGGUGGCCAUUCUCACUGGGACCUGGCUGAUCGGGGACGGACCCCCAACAGAGGGACAGGUUUUUUCCCAUGC